rnacentral:rRNA from 1 species
CGGAAUCAUUGGGCGUAAAGGGUACGUAGGCGGGUCAUUAAGUUAGAAGUCAAAGGCUAUAGCUCAACUAUAGUAAGCUUCUAAAACUGGAGACCUUGAGUAAUGGAAGGGAAAGUGGAAUUCCUAGUGUAGCGGUGGAAUGCGCAGAUAUUAGGAGGAAUACCGGUGGCGAAGGCGACUUUCUGGCCAUUAACUGACGCUGAGGUACGAAAGCGUGGGUAGCAAACAGGAUUAGAUACCCUGGUAGUCCACGCCGUAAACGAUGAGUGUUAGGUGUCUGGAGUAAAUCUGGGUGCCGCAGCUAACGCAUUAAACACUCCGCCUGGGGAGUACGCACGCAAGUGUGAAACUCAAAGGAAUUGACGGGGACCCGCACAAGCAGCGGAGCAUGUGGUUUAAUUCGAAGCAACGCGAAGAACCUUACCAAGUCUUGACAUAUUUUGGAAGCACUUAGAGAUAAGAGCCUAUAUCUUCGGAUAACUGAAAUACAGGUGGUGCAUGGUUGUCGUCAGCUCGUGUCGUGAGAUGUUGGGUUAAGUCCCAUAACGAGCGCAACCCCUAUGGCUAGUUACCAUCAUUAAGUUGGGGACUCUAGCAAUACUGCCGGUGACAAACCGGAGGAAGGUGGGGAUGACGUCAAAUCAUCAUGCCCUUUAUGACUUGGGCUACACACGUGCUACAAUGGCAGGUACAGAGGGCAGCUACAGAGUGAUCUGAUGCAAAACUCAAAAAGCCUGUCCCAGUUCGGAUUGCACUCUGCAAC